rnacentral:rRNA from 1 species
GAUGAACGCUAGCGGGAGGCUUAACACAUGCAAGUCGAGGGGCAGCAUAGAGUAGCAAUACUUUGAUGGCGACCGGCGCACGGGUGAGUAACGCGUAUGUAACCUACCCUGUACAGGGGGAUAGCCCGGAGAAAUUCGGAUUAAUACCCCAUAAUGAUAUCGAGAGGCAUCUUUUGAUAUUUAAAGCUUCGGCGGUACGGGAUGGGCAUGCGUGACAUUAGCUAGUUGGUAAGGUAACGGCUUCCCAAGGCUGCGAUGUCUAGGGGUCCUGAGAGGGUGAUCCCCCACACUGGUACUGAGACACGGACCAGACUCCUACGGGAGGCAGCAGUGAGGAAUAUUGGUCAAUGGGCGUAAGCCUGAACCAGCCAUCCCGCGUGAAGGAAGAAGGCGCUAUGCGUCGUAAACUUCUUUUCCAGAGGAAUAAAAUUUUGUACGCGUGCAGAACUGAAGGUACUCUGGGAAUAAGCAUCGGCUAACUCCGUGCCAGCAGCCGCCGUAAAAC